AGGGAGAGCCGGCCCUGUUUAUAUGCGUUCUAUGAUACAAACCACAGUUAGCACUGAACACAUGGUGAAAACUUCGUGCAAUACGACUUGCUGAGCAGUAAAAUUCACAUCACUCCUCUGUAGGGAGGUGAGAGAUAUUGGAAACACACUGCUGGCCUGAAUGUACAGGUCCUUCUCAAAAAAUUAGCAUAUUGUGAUAAAGUUCAGUAUUUUCUGUAAUGUACUGAUAAACAUUAGACUUUCAUAUAUGUUAGAUUCCUUACACACAACUGAAGUAGUUCAAGCCUUUUAUUGUUUUAAUAUUGAUGAUAUUGGCCAAAAAGUAAAGAAAAACCAAAAAUCCCUAUCUCAAAAAAUUAGCAUAUUAUGAAAAGGUACUCUAAACGAGCUAUUAACCUAAUCAUCUGAAUCAACGACUUAACUCUAAACACCUGCAAAAGAUUCCAGAGGCCUUUAAAAACUCCCAGCCUGGUUCGUUACUCAAAACCGCAAUCAUGGGUAAGACUGCCGACCUGACUGCUGUCCAGAAGGCCAUCAUUGACACCCUCAAGCAAGAGGGUAAGACACAGAAAGAAAUUUCUGAGCGAAUAGGCUGCUCCCAGAGUGCUGUAUCAAGGCACCUCUGUGGGAAGGAAAAAGUGUGGCAGAAAACGCUGCACUACUACAAGAGGUGACCGAACCCUGAGGAAGAUUGUGGAGAAGGGCCGAUUCCAGACCUUGGGGGACCUGUGGAAGCAGUGGACUGAGCCUGGAGUAGAAACAUCCAGAGCCACCGUGCACAGGCAUGUGCAGGAAAUGGGCUACAGGUGCCGCAUUCCCCAGGUCAAGCCACUUUUGAACCAGAAACAGCGGCAGAAGCGCCUGACCUUGGCUACAGAGAAGCAGCACUGGACUGUUGCUCAGUGGUCCAAAGCACUUUUUUUUGGAUGAAAGCAAAUUUUGCAUGUCAUUUGGAAAUCAAGGUGCCAGAGUCUGGAGGAAGACUGGGCAGAAGAAAAUGCCAAAAUGCCUGAAGUCCAGUGUCAAGUACCCACAAUCAGUGAUGGUCUGGGGUGCCAUGUCAGCUGCUGGUGGUGGUCCACUGUGUUUUAUCAAGGACAGGGUCAAUGCAGCUGGCUAUCAGGAGAUUUUGGAGCACUUCAUGCUUGCAUCUGCUGAAAAGCUUUAUGGAGAUGAAGAUUUCAUUUUUCAGCACGACCUGGCACCUGCUCACAGUGCCAAAACCACUGGGAAAUGGUUUACUGACCAUGGUAUUGCUGUGCUCAAUUGGCCUGCCAACUCUCCUGACCUGAACCCCAUAGAGAAUCUGUGGGAUAUUGUGAAGAGGAAGUUGAGUCACCAGACCCACCACUGUGGAUGAGCUUAAGGCCGCUAUCGAAGCAUCCUGGGCCUCCAUAACACCUCAGCAGUGCCACAGGCUGAUUGCCUCCAUGCCACGCCGCAUUGAAGCAGUCAUUUCUGCAAAAGGAUUCCCGACCAAGUACUGAGUGCAUAAGUGAACAUAAUUAUUUGAAGGUUGACUUUUUUUGUAUUAAAAACACUUUUCUUUUAUUGGUCGGAUGGAAUAUGCUAAUUUUUUGAGAUAGGGAUUUUUGGUUUUUCUUUACUUUUUGGCCAAUAUCAUCAAUAUUAAAACAAUAAAAGGCUUGAACUAC